rnacentral:rRNA from 1 species
UGGGGAAUUUUGCGCAAUGGGCGAAAGCCUGACGCAGCAACGCCGCGUGGGUGAUGAAGGUCUUCGGAUCGUAAAACCCUGUCGUCGGGGACGAAGGUGGAGGGGUUAAUAGCCUCUUUGCUUGACGGUACCCGGAGAGGAAGCCCCGGCUAACUCUGUGCCAGCAGCCGCGGUAAUACAGAGGGGGCAAGCGUUAUUCGGAAUUAUUGGGUGUAAAGGGCGCGUAGGCGGCUUUUUAAGUGAGAUGUGUAAUCCCUGAGCUCAACUUGGGAACUGCAUCUCAUACUGGGAGGCUAGAGUACUGGGGAGGGUGGUAGAAUUCCACGUGUAACGGUGAAAUGCGUAGAGAUGUGGAGGAAUACCAGUGGCGAAGGCGGCCACCUGGACAGUAACUGACGCUGAGGCGCGAAAGUGUGGGUAGCAAACAGG